ACUGCUCAGUAACACGUGGACAACCUACCCUAAGGAGGGGGAUAACCCCGGGAAACUGGGGAUAAUACCCCAUAGACUAUGGAUGCUGGAAUGCUCUGUAGUUGAAAGGUCCGCCGCCUUAGGAUGGGUCUGCGGCCGAUUAGGUUGUUGUUGGGGUAACGGCCCAACAAGCCUGUAAUCGGUACGGGUUGUGGGAGCAAGAGCCCGGAGAUGGAUUCUGAGACACGAAUCCAGGCCCUACGGGGCGCAGCAGGCGCGAAAACUUUACAAUGCGAGAAAUCGUGAUAAGGGAACUCCGAGUGCCCGUAAAAUCGGGCUGUUAAUCUGUUUAAAUAACAGGUUGAGAAAGGGCCGGGCAAGACCGGUGCCAGCAGCCGCGGUAAUAC
rnacentral:rRNA from 1 species